GACGAACGCUGGCGGCGUGCCUAAUACAUGCAAGUAGAACGCUGAAGGAGGAGCUUGCUUCUCUGGAUGAGUUGCGAACGGGUGAGUAACGCGUAGGUAACCUGCCUGGUAGCGGGGGAUAACUAUUGGAAACGAUAGCUAAUACCGCAUAAGAGUAGAUGUUGCAUGACAUUUACUUAAAAGGUGCAAUUGCAUCACUACCAGAUGGACCUGCGUUGUAUUAGCUAGUUGGUGGGGUAACGGCUUACCAAGGCGACGAUACAUAGCCGACCUGAGAGGGUGAUCGGCCACACUGGGACUGAGACACGGCCCAGACUCCUACGGGAGGCAGCAGUAGGGAAUCUUCGGCAAUGGACGGAAGUCUGACCGAGCAACGCCGCGUGAGUGAAGAAGGUUUUCGGAUCGUAAAGCUCUGUUGUAAGAGAAGAACGAGUGUGAGAGUGGAAAGUUCACACUGUGACGGUAUCUUACCAGAAAGGGACGGCUAACUACGUG
rnacentral:rRNA from 1 species